UACGUAGGGGGCAAGCGUUGUCCGGAUUUACUGGGCGUAAAGCGCGCGUAGGCGGGAGGUGAAGUCCGGUGGGAAAGCCCACGGCUCAACCGUGGAAGAACGCUGGAAACUCACCUUCUUGAGGGCGGCAGAGGGAAGUGGAAUUGCUGGUGUAGCGGUGAAAUGCGUAGAUAUCAGCAGGAACACCCGUGGCGAAAGGCGGCUUCCUGGGCCGCCCCUGACGCUGAGGCGCGAAAGCGUGGGGAGCGAACGGG
rnacentral:rRNA from 1 species